CCCUUUGAGGUGCUAAAGAUGAUCUGUUUGCUUUAGUGUUUUCACAUUACAGUGGCCAAAAUGUAACUGUACACUACCCAUCAAAUUCAACAACAAGUUAUUUGUAUUGCCU